rnacentral:rRNA from 1 species
AUUGAACGCUGGCGGCAUGCCUUACACAUGCAAGUCGAACGGCAGCAUAGGAGCUUGCUCCUGAUGGCGAGUGGCGAACGGGUGAGUAAUAUAUCGGAACGUGCCCUAGAGUGGGGGAUAACUAGUCGAAAGAUUAGCUAAUACCGCAUACGAUCUACGGAUGAAAGUGGGGGAUCGCAAGACCUCAUGCUCCUGGAGCGGCCGAUAUCUGAUUAGCUAGUUGGUGGGGUAAAAGCCUACCAAGGCGACGAUCAGUAGCUGGUCUGAGAGGACGACCAGCCACACUGGGACUGAGACACGGCCCAGACUCCUACGGGAGGCAGCAGUGGGGAAUUUUGGACAAUGGGGGCAACCCUGAUCCAGCAAUGCCGCGUGAGUGAAGAAGGCCUUCGGGUUGUAAAGCUCUUUUGUCAGGGAAGAAACGGUUCUGGAUAAUACCCAGAGCUAAUGACGGUACCUGAAGAAUAAGCACCGGCUAACUACGUGCCAGCCGCCGCCGUAA